rnacentral:rRNA from 1 species
AGCGAACGCUGGCGGCAGGCCUAACACAUGCAAGUCAAACGAACUCUUCGGAGUUAGUGGCGGACGGGUGAGUAACACGUGGGAACGUGCCUUUAGGUUCGGAAUAACUCAGGGAAACUUGUGCUAAUACCGAAUGUGCCCUUCGGGGGAAAGAUUUAUCGCCUUUAGAGCGGCCCGCGUCUGAUUAGCUAGUUGGUGAGGUAAAGGCUCACCAAGGCGACGAUCAGUAGCUGGUCUGAGAGGAUGAUCAGCCACAUUGGGACUGAGACACGGCCCAAACUCCUGCGGGAGGCAGCAGUGGGGAAUCUUGCGCAAUGGGCGAAAGCCUGACGCAGCCAUGCCGCGUGAAUGAUGAAGGUCUUAGGAUUGUAAAAUUCUUUCACCGGGGACGAUAAUGACGGUACCCGGAGAAGAAGCCCCGGCUAACUUCGUG